rnacentral:misc_RNA from 1 species
AAGUCGUAACAAGGUAACCGUAGGUGAACCUGCGGUUGGAUCAUUAAUGUAAAUUAGGGCUUCCGCGACAAAACCGGAGCUGCCACAUGCGGCACCGUUUUGAAGCGUGAAACUUACACACCUCUCGUGAACCGUACAUCAUUUUCCAACGUCUUAUUUAAAAGUCUAAAGUAAAAAGUUGAUCUUAUUCAUUUUACGAAUACGAAAAAACAACUUUUGGCAACGGAUCUCUUGGCUCUC